UAUAGAAAUCAUCUUUUCAUGAGCUAUUUGUAGCAAAAUGUUCCUGUAUUUUUUCAGGUCGAAGGAACAGUCCGACAGCGGGAAGUUACAUCCUAGCCGUAUUGUAAAACUAAAAACUAAUUUUGGUUAAUAUUAUGGAAACAUUUUAUCGAACAAAUUGUAUGGUACAUGUCAGGCUGACAUUUGGCGAAGGUACCUUACUUCAAAAAUACAUAAUGUGGAACGAUUUUCACCAGAUGCUAUUGCAAUCAUUUUUUACUUCGGAAUGUCUAGCCACGUUCAUACAUGGUCAUCAUGUCGUUUAAAUUACAUAAAAAUAUCAGAAAUAAAUAACGCAAAUAAGUAUGCUUGGCAAAGCAUAGCUACAGUCCCAAAAAUGAAGGAUUUUGGAAAGCUCUAAAUGAUAUAUUUAAUUUCAAAAGUGUUUUAUUCUCUUUCCCAGAAGACACCUAAUUUAUGGCGAUACCUAAUUGUAUGUUCUGAUAUUGAAUGUAUUGUAAUCAAAUACAGUUUAUUUUAGAUGAUUAGAAUGCUGUUCUGUUGAAAUGAUUGGUUGUAUAUACUUUCCAUAAAAUAAAUCUCUGCUGAUAAUUUAA